rnacentral:rRNA from 1 species
GAUGAACGCUGGCGGCGUGCUUAACACAUGCAAGUCGAACGAAGCACCUUGAUUUGAUUCUUCGGAUGAAGAUCUUGGUGACUGAGUGGCGGACGGGUGAGUAACGCGUGGGUAACCUGCCUCAUACAGGGGGAUAACAGUUAGAAAUGACUGCUAAUACCGCAUAAGACUACAGCACCGCAUGGUGCAGGGGUAAAAACUCCGGUGGCAUGAGAUGGACCCGCGUCUGAUGAGGUAGUUGGUGGGGUAACGGCCUACCAAGCCGACGAUCAGUAGCCGACCUGAGAGGGUGACCGGCCACAUUGGGACUGAGACACGGCCCAAACUCCUACGGGAGGCAGCAGUGGGGAAUAUUGCACAAUGGGGGAAACCCUGAUGCAGCGACGCCGCGUGAGCGAUGAAGUAUUUCGGUAUGUAAAGCUCUAUCAGCAGGGAAGAAAAUGACGGUACCUGACUAAGAAGCACCGGCUAAAUACGUGCCAGCAGCCGCCGUAA